rnacentral:rRNA from 1 species
AUGUGUGACCAUGUCGUCGGCGCCACCACCACCUCGCUCUGGCACAAGAUCAAGGAUUUCUUCCUCGCCAAUCGCGCCGCCAGAUACAUGAUUCUCAAUCGCCAGUAUCGUAACCUCAAGCAAGGAGAUCUCUCGGUUUCCGAGUAUGCGCGCCGCAUGAAGCUCCUCACCGAUGGCUUGGCCGACAUCGAUCACGCCGUCACUGACGUGGAUCUCACCACCCAGUUUCUCCAUGGCCUCGACAAGCGGCUCGACACCAUACGCGUCGUCCUCGGCGAUCAGGGCCUCCCCUUCGACACCGUCCUCUCCCGGGUCAUCCUCGCCGAAGAGUCCCAAGAGCAGCGCACGGCCGAGGAGAGCGCCUCGGCCUUCGCUCUGACCGGUGGUGGAUCCACUGGUGGCAGCUCCAGCACGGGCAACCGCGCCGCCAACGGUCGGGGUGAUCGCACC